UUUCCGUAGGUGAACCUGCGGAAGGAUCAUUAUUGUAUAACCGAGGUUGGAGGGCUGUCCCUAACCCGAGAGGUCGGUCACACCCGAGUGCCCUCACUCAAAUCCAUCUCACCGCUAUGGUCACCACCGCGUGGUGGCCCCUGGGGCUUGCUCGGAGGGGGCCUGGCGUGUUCACACAAGCUGUGUAUGCAGAUUAGAAUGUAUUUUUUGUUUUUGCGAGCACGCAAUCAAUACAACUAUCAACAACAGAACUCAUGGCUCUCUCAUCGCUUAAGAACA
rnacentral:misc_RNA from 1 species